rnacentral:sRNA from 1 species
UGUAGGGAACAGAGCAGAAGGAGUCAGACAGGCUGGUUUCCAUGGCCUUGGGGCCGGUCACUUCCUUCUGUGAUUCCCAUGUUCCUCAUUUGAAGCGUGAAGAGAGUCCCCUUGGCCUUAAAAGGCACAUCUUCUCCGUUCAUUCAUUCAUUCACUCAUUCAUAGAAGAUGGCGUUUCCUAAGGAAUAGAUUGCUCUGUAUAGCGUCUAUCUUUGGGGGGGGGGCGUAAAAUGGGGUCAUUUGGUAGACAUAUUAUUUGCUCAGCAAACAUUUACUUGCCUAGCCCUCCCCACUUGGAGAGGGAUAGAAUUUCCUCACUCUGUUGAUAUUAGAUUUAGCCAUGUGACUUGCUGGAGACAGAAUACAGGCGGAAGCGGCAGCAGCCAGCUCCGGAGUCGCUGAGCCUCCCCUUUCCCACCUCUUGAGCAAUUGUCCUUGGCCAUGAGAAUACCAGAUAGCGGGAGUCCUUCAGCCGGACAAAGAAGGAGCAGACAAGGGAGACAGCUGUGUGUGACCCAAAGCUCGGAGGCCAGCCCGACCCAGCUAACCCACGGUGCUGAGAUUGAAUUUAGGGGCCUUGCACGUCUGGUCAAUCACUCCAGGACUGAUCUCCAUCCCUGUCUCUGGUUCUUGUAGUUCGCCGGUCUCACUGAGAAGCACAGGAACUGUCUACCCUGUGCUGUGAGGACAGGAACUCUUAUUGGAGCUCAUCAAAUAGUCUGCAGGGUCCCGAGUGGCCUUUCUGCCUCUGCCCUGUCCUCUCAGUGAUGGCAGCCUUGAAACUGUCUUCUGAGUUAUGGCAGCUACGCCCACAGGACUGGGUGACCCAGUGGGCUGCCAAGGCACUAGACUCCCAGGGUCUUCUUCCAGCUACCGUUUUGUAAAUGCUUGUAUGCAUUUAUCAAACACUUCUAUGUAGAGUUCGCCCUGUACCAGACACCAUGUGAAGUAUUAUAAUAUCCAAAUCUGCCUACAACCACCGGAUAAAUGGUUAGAGUCCCCAUUCUACAAACGGAGAAACCGAGACACCACGAGGUUGUGAAGGACCGGAGCGGGGAUUCAAACCCAGGAGGUCUGGCUCUCCUACCUCUCCUCGCUCUCCUCGCCUCAAGUUAUUUGAUUAAACCCGUUUUUCCUCAA